rnacentral:rRNA from 1 species
CGUAGGUGGGCAGGUAAGUCAGUGGUGAAAUCUUCGAGCUUAACUCGGAAACUGCCAUUGAUACUAUCUGUCUUGAAUAUCCUGGAGGUGAGCGGAAUAUGUCAUGUAGCGGUGAAAUGCUUAGAUAUGACAUAGAACACCAAUUGCGAAGGCAGCUCACUACGGGAUGAUUGACGCUGAGGCACGAAAGCGUGGGGAUCAAACAG